AUUCAACAACCUGCCAAUAGCCCUGAUCUGAAUGGCCUUGACCUUGGGUUCUUCAACUCGUUGCAAUCUCUAACAGAUUGUCUAAGCCCUAGAACGCUUCAGGAUCUUAUCAAGGGUGUGCUAGAUGAAUUUGAAAACUAUGAAGUUUACAAGUUGAACAGAGUUUUCCUAUCUCUACAAGCUUGCAUGGUUGAAAUCUUGAACCAUGCGGGGGCCAAUGGGUAUAAAAUACUCCAUGCGAACAAGGAAAGGCUAGAGAACCUUGGGAUGCUGCCUCCAAGACUUACAUGCCCUCGAGAGGUAUAUGAUGCCCUGCACAAUCUUGGGAUAAUGGAGAGAGUUGCUUGUUGA
rnacentral:rRNA from 1 species